GGAUGCAUGAGCAACCGAUGUAAAAACUGUUGCAAAGUACCCAUAUGAAUAGUUAAUUUGAUUUAUUUAAAAGGAAUCCCAGAGUAGACAUUUGCAGAGCCUGAAUUUAUCACGUACAUUAUAACUUUCGUAAUAAAAUAAAUUGAGGACAAAAAUAAGAAGCAAUAAA